rnacentral:lncRNA from 1 species
CACAAAUUUUUACCUCAUAACCUCUAUCCUCUCCUCUCUCCGAAUCCACUAACCAUUUCCUUCAAAUCUUUCAUGAAAUUAACGAUUUGUAGAUCUAAAACCCCUAGAAAAGCUUAAAUUUUCCCUUUUCCUGAUUUUCAAUCAAUUCGGCCAUGAUUACGGUUGAAAUUUACAUUAAUGGAAAUCUCUUAACAAGAGACACCAAUUGAUAUAAGAUUUGGUCCAUUUAUUAGUGGCCGAAUUUCGGUCUAUCGGCGUUUGACCGAUCGGAGCCAUCUAGAGAUCCUUUUGUCGCUUCAAUUGAUCACAUUAGGUAAUCUUUUCUUUUUUAUCUUUCUCUUCUUUACCUUCUUUAUCUCUUGUUGUUUAAAGGUGAACUAAAAUUAGCAGUUGCCAUGUUAGGUUUGAAUUGCGUCGUUUAGUUAUGAAGUUAUGAUUGACUGCUAAUCGCAUAUUUAAUUAGAUCAUUUGCAUAGUGAUUUGUCUUAUUGUUAAUUGGUGUUUAGUUGAAUUAUCAAUUUUGUCAUAGGUAGAUUUAGGUUUCCAGUCGGUUAAUUUUUGGAAAGAUUGGGUCUGUCUUAGUGAACAGACAGGCCUGCUAGUUGGUUUGGGGUUUUGAAUUGUAUUGGUGUUAGGCAUGUUGGUCGUAGGCCCAAGUUUGUGCUGGGGUAAAUGUAAAAGCAGAGUAGACUUAAAGGGGCUUUAAGGAAAUUAAAACAUAGUAGGAUCUUUUUUGUUACAGCUUAAAGUGACUUCUAGAAGAGAGAGAAAAACCAUUUAGCAAUAAAUAACGGGGAAGGUCAGGUAAAUAACUAAAGGAGGAUAGAGUAAAAAGAAAACAAAAUAACUGAAAUAGAUUCUCUGAUUUCUGCACACAAUACUCGAUAAAUUUUAUUUUGAGUAAGAUAUGCCAUAUAAUACUUGAGUGAGGGCAUUGAUUGCUUGCCAAAUGGCACCUGUGGGACCCGCAAUUAAUGAAAAACUAAAAGAAAUAUUCCAUCUCUCUCUUCAUUCACCAAACCGGUCCCAGUGCCCCCAAAACCCGCUCCUCUCUCUUUCUUCUUCUUCUUCUUCUUCUUCUUCCUCCUCCCAUCACCGUAUAGAAAAACAACCCAUCUACUAUUAUCUUUUUCAGUUUCAAAAAAUAUUUCAAGUUUCUAUGUAUUUCAGUCUUUAUAAAUAGUUUGAACACUGUAGAAAAUUAAACAAUGCUCAUGAUUCGAAACUUUUUCGAUAUUUUAAGUUUUCUAGACCUAACCCAUCAAUUUUGUUUAAUUGACCUGCCAUUGAUAUACAAAUUAAAAAUCAAUAAAAAAGUGAAAUAUUUUGUAUAUAUACACAAGAUUAGAGAGAAAUAUACACGUGCAAAAAAAAAGGUAACUUUUCACAUUAGUAGAUCGAUAAUUUUGGGAGGGACUAUAUUAAUUUUACUAAUAAUUGUUGAACCCAAUGAAUAAAAGACUCUUUCGUUCUUAAUACAGGGGACAAAGAUACAUGGAUGUUGUGUUUCAAAUUUUGAACAUAAAAGUUUCAUUAGUAGAUUGUGAAAUUGUGAAAAGAAUAUGAGGAGAUUUGACAGAGGGGGGUGUAUUGGGAGAAGAAGAAAGUGGAAGAGAGAGAAGCGGGGAGGGGUGAAAGGGUGGUGGAGGGACUGGGGAACGGUUUGGUGGAGAGAGAGAGGGAGUAUUUUUUUUAGUUUUUCAUUAAUUGCGGGUCCCACAGGUGCCAUUUGGCAAGCAAUCAAUGCUCUCACUUAAGUAUUACAUGUCAUAUCUCACUCAAAAUAAAAUUUCUCACAAUACUCAUUCACUUGGCAUUAACUUUCUGCAUUUUGACAGAUACACAUUUUAUUCUCUCAUUCGCUCUCAAUUUCUCACCUUCACACACCUCUUCUCACUCACACACGAAAAAGGCACUCCCAACUUAGCUACAAACAAAAUUCUGGAAUUUAAGUAUUGGAUUUCAUAUCUAAAAAAUAAAAGGUUUCAAAUUAGGAAGAGUAAAAUUAGAAUUUGAAAAGCAAGUUUGCAGUUCCUCUAGUUUUUGGUGUUAACAUUUUUUCUGGAUGGUUGAAGAGUUUGUUGUUGUUUCUCUUUCCUGUUGGCUUGAACAACAUCCUUUGUUUUCAGAACAUUAUUUGGUUGGUUCUCUGAUGUUUAUGCUAUUAGGUAUGUAAAUAUUCACACAUUUUUCUCUAUUUGAGCUUAUGUGAUGACUCGGUCAGUCAUCUCAUGAGUUACCGCUGCGUUUUUCCCAUUUCUACUUCUUUAUGCUUCGUUAUCCAUGUUUUAUGGUAUCGGGUUGGUCGGAUCGAAUCCGGAAUGAUUUUGGUAAGGUUUGAGACACUUAGUCUCUUUUGAGAAAGCUUAAGUGGAAAAGUCAACCGGAGGUUGACUUAUAUGUUAGAGGGCUCGAAUGUGAGUUUUGAUGGUUCGGUUAUCUUCGAGAGGUGAUUUAUGACUUAGAAGCAUGAUCGAAAUGGGUUUUGGAGGUUUGGAGUAGAUUUAGGCUUGAAUUGGCGAAGUUGAUAUUUUGGCGAUUUCCGGUUGGUAGGCAAGAUUUUGAUAUAGGGGUCGGAAUGGAAUUUUGAGGGUUGUAGUAGCUCCAUUGUGUUAUUUGGAUUGUGUGCAAAAUGUCAGGUCAUUCGGACGUGGUUUGGUUGGGUUUUUUAUCAAAAGCGGAAUUUGGAAGAUUAUAGAAAGUUAGGCUUGAAUCCGAUGUGUUUUGGUAGAUUUGAUGUUGUUGGAGGUGUUUUGAUGAUUGGAACAAGUUUGAAUAAGGUAUUGGGUUAUGUUUGUGCUUUGGGUCGAGGCCUCGGGGGCUUCGGGGUAAUUUCGGAUGGUUAACAGAGGAGUUGAGAUGUUAUUGCAGCUGCUGAAGUUUUGCUGCUUCUGGUGUUUUUGCACCUGCAGUUUAGGGAUCGUAGGUGCGGCGCCGCACGUGCGGAAGAGGAGCCGCGGAAGCGGAUUGUUGAGGACUUUCCAAGAACUGCAGAUGCGGUGUGGGAUCGCACCUGCGGAGUCGCAGGUGCGGAUGGCUUAUUGCGGAUACGAUUUUGGGAAUUUGGUAAGUGUCGUAGCUGCGGAAAGGUCUGGGCAAAACAUAUAAGUUAUUUCAUAUCGCGAAUUUGAGUUAUUUCACCAUUUUUGAGCUCCGACUUGGAGCUUCUUGGGCGAUUUGAGAGGGGGAUUUCUAGAGAACUUCAUUGAGGUAAGGAAUUUGGACCUAAAACUCGUUCCUAUGCUAUUAUUUCAUGAAUUAAAGCUAGAAAUUAUGGAAAUCAAAGGUUAAAAUUGGGGACACUAGGGCUUGAAAACUUAGGCCUUUAAUUGUGGAUUUGAAGGACCAUAUGGGGUCGGAUUUGAGAACUUUUGAUAUGUAUGAACUCGUGGGGAGAUUAGGAACCUAUUAAUGUAAAAAAUUUUGAAUUCCGAGACGUGGGCCCGGGGGUCGGGUUUUGGUAAUUUCGGAAUUAUGCCCUUUAUUGAUUAUUUUCGCUUGAGCUUCGUUCCCUUAGCAUAUUUUGAUGUCCUCGUUCCGAUUUUAGAUAGAUUCGACACGUGUGGAGGCCGAAUCGAGGGGAAAAGGCAUCGCGAGCUAGAGAUUUAGCCGGUUUGAGGUGAGUAAUGAUUGUAAAUGAUGUUCUGAGGGUUUGAAACCCUGGAUUUGCACACCGUAGUGUUAUAUUGAGGUGAGGCACACGCUUGAUGACGAGCAUGGGGUCAUGCACUAUUGAGGAUUGUGACUUGGUCCGUCCCAAUUGAUGAUUUUACCGCGUAUUUGAUUGAAAACUAUUUGCUAUCAUCAUUAUUUGGGUUGAUUGCCAUAUUUAGGCCUAGUGCCAACUAUUCGAUCCUUCGGGGAUUUUUAUUGAUAUCUUCCUUACUGUUUUGACCUUAUACUUGAACUCAGUCAUGAAUUUCCACUGUUUUACUACUCAACCAUAUUUACUCAAUUUUUAUGACUUAAAUGAUAUUUUAAAUGAUGUUUGGGCUGAGAAACACUAUUUUCUAUUUCCCGAGAGUCUUUUGAUGAUUUUGGACUGAGUAAGGUAGGGGCCUACAUUGCGAGGAAACACUGAUACUGAUUUGAGGCCGAGGGCCUAGAUUUGAUGACACGAGAUGGCUUGUUAUUGCGCUUGGGUCGUAAGGGGCCCCUCCAGGAGUCUGCACACCCCCAGUGAGCGCAGGUACCCAUUGUGAUGUGAGAUUGAGCCCGAGGGGCUGUUAUUGUUCUGAGAUGUUGCCCGAGGGGUGGAUUUGGUGAUACUGCGCCCUAGGGGCGAACUUCUAUUUGGUUGCUUUAUCUUAUUUACCUGUCAAUUACUUGUUUACUUGUUGAAAGAGGAUUUUACUUGACUUUCCACUGUUUUACUGCUUUAAAUGGUUUUACUGCUUCAUUAUAGAAUGCUUUGUGCCUUACGUGUUUUCUUACAUUCAGUCGUUAUUUAUAUUUGUUACUCACCGAGUUAGAGUACUCACUUUACUCCCUGCACCCUGUGUGCAGAUUCAACAUAGCUGGUUCCGCUCCCGAGUGUUGAUUCCUCCAGCUUCAGGCGGGCUUUUGGAGAUUACGAGGUAGUUGUUGACGUCCGCAGCCCCGUGUCUCUACUCCUUUAUUGCUUCUGUUCCUUUUCAGACUUUUGUACUAAUUCAUGGUUCUAGCGGGAUUGUAGUAUGACUUAUAGAUACUCAUGACUAGUGACACCCCGGUUAGGGCUGUGUAUGGGUAUUCUUCCGCG